UGAUCCUGGCUCAGGAUGAACGCUAGCGGCAGGCUUAACACAUGCAAGUCGAGGGGUAACAUUGUUGCUUGCAACAGAUGACGACCGGCGCACGGGUGCGUAACGCGUAUAGGACCUACCUUUAACUAAGGGAUUGCCCAGAGAAAUUUGGAUUAAUACCUUAUAGUAUUUAUUUGUUGCAUGACAGAUAUCUUAAAGAUUUAUCGGUUAGAGAUGGCUAUGCGUUCUAUUAGUUAGUUGGUGAGGUAACGGCUCCCCAAGACUACGAUAGAUAGGGGUCCUGAGAGGGAGAUCCCCCACACUGGUACUGAGACACGGACCAGACUCCUACGGGAGGCAGCAGUGAGGAAUAUUGGACAAUGGAGGCAACUCUGAUCCAGCCAUGCCGCGUGUAGGAAGACUGCCCUAUGGGUUGUAAACUACUUUUAUACAAGAAGAAACGCGAUCUCGAGAGAUUGUUUGACGGUAUUGUACGAAUAAGGAUCGGCUAACUCCGUGCCAGCAGCCGCGGUAAUACGGAGGAUCCAAGCGUUAUCCGGAAUCAUUGGGUUUAAAGGGUCCGUAGGCGGGUAGAUAAGUCAGUGGUGAAAGUUUGCGGCUCAACCGUAAAAUUGCCAUUGAUACUGUUUAUCUUGAAUUGAUGUGAAGUGGUUAGAAUAAGUAGUGUAGCGGUGAAAUGCAUAGAUAUUACUUAGAAUACCGAUUGCGAAGGCAGAUCACUAACAUUUUAUUGACGCUGAUGGACGAAAGCGUGGGUAGCGAACAGGAUUAGAUACCCUGGUAGU
rnacentral:rRNA from 1 species